rnacentral:rRNA from 1 species
UACAGAGGAUGCAAGCGUUAUCCGGAAUGAUUGGGCGUAAAGCGUCCGCAGGUGGUUUUGUAUGUCUGCUGUUAAAGAGUUAGGCUUAACCUAAUAAAGGCGGUGGAAACUACAAGACUAGAGUACGUUCGGGGCAGAGGGAAUUCCCAGUGUAGCGGUGAAAUGCGUAGAGAUUGGGAAGAACACCGGUGGCGAAAGCGCUCUGCUAGGCCUGUACUGACACUGAGGGACGAAAGCUAGGGGAGCGAAUGGG